GACAAUGGACCAAGAGUCUGAUCCAGCAAUUCUGUGUGCACGAUGAAGUUUUUCGGAAUGUAAAGUGCUUUCAGUUGGGAAGAAAAAAAUGACGGUACCAACAGAAGAAGUGACGGCUAAAUACGUGCCAGCAGCCGCGGUAAUACGUAUGUCACGAGCGUUAUCCGGAUUUAUUGGGCGUAAAGCGCGUCUAGGUGGUUAUGUAAGUCUGAUGUGAAAAUGCAGGGCUCAACUCUGUAUUGCGUUGGAAACUGUAUAACUAGAGUACUGGAGAGGUAAGCGGAACUACAAGUGUAGAGGUGAAAUUCGUAGAUAUUUGUAGGAAUGCCGAUGGGGAAGCCAGCUUACUGGACAGAUACUGACGCUGAAGCGCGAAAGCGUGGGUAGCAAACAGGAUUAGAUACCCUGGUAGUCCACGCCGUAAACGAUGAUUACUAGGUGUUGGGGGUCGAACCUCAGCGCCCAAGCAAACGCGAUAAGUAAUCCGCCUGGGGAGUACGUACGCAAGUAUGAAACUCAAAGGAAUUGACGGGGGCCCGCACAAG
rnacentral:rRNA from 1 species